rnacentral:sRNA from 1 species
GGUUCUGCGGUAGUGGUGUUCACUGGCAGCUGCAGAUCGGAAAUGCUUGAGGUCUUAAAAAAAUGCAUGGGCUUCUCCCCAAACUAGUUAAAUGGGAAUCACUGGCGAUUCUCAUUUCAGAGAACUGGUGGUUUUUUCUAAGUACCUCAGGGAAGUUUAGCGUCUGCUCAGUUGAGAAUCAGUGUUCUACCCGGAAGGGCACUCGUAGCCUGGUUUCCUGUAAUGGUGGCUAUCCUGCUGAAGCUUGGAACUUCUGGACAAGAAAAGGCCUGGUUUCUGGUGGCCUCUAUGAAUCCCAUGUAGGGUGCAGACCGUACUCCAUCCCUCCCUGUGAGCACCACGUCAACGGCUCCCGGCCCCCAUGCACGGGGGAGGGAGAUACCCCCAAGUGUAGCAAGAUCUGUGAGCCUGGCUACAGCCCGACCUACAAACAGGACAAGCACUACGGAUACAAUUCCUACAGCGUCUCCAAUAGCGAGAAGGACAUCAUGGCCGAGAU